GACGAACGCUGGCGGCAGGCCUAACACAUGCAAGUCGAGCGAGCGGCGGACGGGUGAGUAAUGUAUGGGGAUCUGCCCGAUAGAGGGGGAUAACUACUGGAAACGGUGGCUAAUACCGCAUACCAUCGGAUGAACCCAUAUGGGAUUAGCUAGGAGGUGGGGUAAAGGCUCACCUAGGCGACGAUUCCUAACUGGUCUGAGAGGAUGAUCAGACACACUGGAGCUAAGACACGGCCCAGACUCAUACGGGAGGCAGGAGUGGGAAAUGUUGAACAAAGGGAACAAGCCUGAUGCAGCCAUGCGGAGUGUAUGAAGAAGGCCUUAGAGUUGGAAAAUACUUUCAGCGGGGAGGCGUUACCCGAAGAAGAAGCAACGGCUAACUCAGUGCCAGCAGCCGCGGUAAUUC
rnacentral:rRNA from 1 species